GGGGCCAGCUGACAUCCUGCCAUGCUUAGGCCCUGGGCUGUUUAUCUGUGCCUGCAGUCUGUCUGUCUUUGAGUCUGGAGCAAGGGAUGUUGGAGUCUGCAGAGCUGAUGUCUCAGGGGGUCAUCACUGAUGGAAACUAAGCUCAUCCCCAGAUAAACUUGGCCCACAUUACAGCAUCCAUCCUUUGGGUAUACUGCAGAAAUCACUCCAGCUCUCUUCAGCACCCUGGGCAGCACGUGGACUUCUAAUUGUACUCCCUACUCAUUGCUGUGCACCUAGUAGUUACUUCAACCAAGACAUGGAUAUGGUCACUCUGGCAGGAGAUCGUGCCCUGAAAAUCAAACCUGCCAAAGACGAUGGUCAAAGCCAUUAGAAAGAUUGCAGCUUGAGGGCCGCCCCUCUCCAACCCCUAAAUGUGAGCACCGAAGUUCCUGUAAUUGUGUUGUGUUCGGGAGCAAAUUGUGCCUGGAAAUAUGUUUGCGAGGCCUUCUCCACAAGGCUGUGCCAUGUGCGCGAAGCAGCUGCAGGAGCCGGGAAGGUGCACGCAGGACUUCAGCAGUCUCUUGGUGGGGGAUUCCGCUCCUGAGCUGGAAGCCUCCAUCUCCCCACUGCCUCUCCAGUGGUGGGAAGCUGCCGAUGUAUUUGUUUUUAAUUAUUUCCCCUGUUGCAUUCGCUCUGUUUUCUUGCUUACGUUAACACAGCUCUCCUCACUGCCCGCGCUCAGCUGCCUAUUUGUCAUUUCUGCUGUUUGACGUGUCGUGGUAAUCUAUGUGCACCCAGCCUGCUGUGCAUCGAUAUUUACUAAUGGAGCUUCUUGUAUGCAGAGGCUGUUUGCAAUAAAAAGAUAAUGAAGAAAA